AGCUAAAUAACAUAAUCGGUAAUGUGUUAGAUUGCAAAUCUUUAAAUAUCGGUUCGAGUCCGAUUUUAGCUU